rnacentral:lncRNA from 1 species
AUGUGCUCUAAUGCCUCCUCCUCCUCUGAUGCAGCAACGUGCUCUAAUGCCUCCUCCUCCUCCUCUGAUGCAGCAACGUGCUCUAAUGCCUCCUCCUCUUCCUCCUCCUCCUCCUCCUCCUCUAAUGCAGCAACGUGCUCUAAUCGCUCCUAUUCCUCCUCUUCCUCCUCUAAUGCAGCAACGUGCUCUAACGCCUCCUCCUCCUCUGAUGCAGCAACGUGCUCUAAUGCCUCCUCCUCUUCCUCCUCCUCCUCCUCUUCCUCCUCCUCCUCCUCUGAUGCAGCAACGUGCUCUAAUGGUCCUCCUCCUCCUCUAAUGCAGCAACGUGCUCUAAUGCCUCCUCCUCCUCCGCCUCCUCCUGAUGCAGCAACGUGCUCCAAUGCCUCCUCCUCCUCUGAUGCAGCAACGUGCUCUAAUACCUCAUCCUCUUCCUCCUCCUCCUCCUCGUCCGAUGCAGCAACGUGCUCUAAUGCCUCGUCCUCCUCUUCCUCUUCCUCUGAUGCAGCAACGUGCUAUAAUGCCUCCUCCUCCUCUGACGCAGCAACGAGCUCUAAUGCCUCCUCCUCCUCCUCUUCCUCCUUCUCUGAUGCAGCAACGUGCUCUAAUGCCUCCUCCUCCUCCUCUUCCUCCUCUGAUGCAGCAACGUGCUCUAAUGCCUCCUCCUCCUCCUCUUCCUCCUCUGAUGCAGCAACGUGCUCUAAUGCCUCCUCCUCUUCCUUCUCCUCCUCUUCUCCUCCGAUGCAGCAACGUGCUCCAAUGCCUCCUCCUCCUCUGAUGCAGCAACGUGCUCUAAUACCUCCUCCUCUUCCUUCUCCUCCUCCUCCUCCUCUCCUCCUCCUCCUGAUGCAGCAACGUGCUCCAAUGCCUCCUCCUCCUCUGAUGCAGCAACGUGCUCUAAUACCUCCUCCUCUUCCUCCUCUGAUGCAGCAACGUGCUCUAAUGCCUCCUCCUCUUCCUUCUCCUCCUCCUCUCCUCCUCCUCCUCCUGAUGCAGCAACGUGCUCCAAUGCCUCCUCCUCCUCUGAUGCAGCAACGUGCUCUAAUACCUCCUCCUCCUCCUCCUUCUCUGAUGCAGCAACGUGCUCUAAUGCCUCCUCCUCCUCCUCUUCCUCCUCUGAUGCAGCAACGUGCUCUAAUGCCUCCUCCUCUUCCUUCUCCUCCUCCUCCUCCUCUCCUCCUCCUCCUCCUCCGAUGCAGCAACGUGCUCUAA